CAACAUCAGAAUAUAAAACAACAACACAACACACACACACAGAACUUACUGUGCUUGAUUUUUUCGCAAUAUUUCUGUUGGCUGAAACUGUACUUGGGCGGAAAACUUCGGGAAAAGUUAUAUGGUUCUGGGUGCAGCUUUAAUUCAUUAGCUAUGGCUGGCAAUGCACUCAAACGUCUGAUGGCGGAGUACAAACAACUUACCCUGAAUCCACCCGAGGGAAUAUUGGCUGGGCCCAUCAAUGAAGAAAACUUUUUUGAGUGGGAGGCACUAAUUACAGGACCUGAGGGGACAUGCUUUGAUGGAGGAGUGUUCACAGCAAAGCUGACCUUUCCACCAGACUACCCACUGAACCCACCCAAGAUGCAAUUCUGCUGUGAAAUGUUUCAUCCCAACAUUUACGCCGACGGCCGUGUGUGCAUCUCCAUCCUGCACGCGCCCGGCGACGAUCCGAUGGGCUACGAGACCUCGGCAGAGCGCUGGAGCCCCGUGCAGAGCGUCGAGAAGAUCCUGCUCUCGGUGGUCAGCAUGCUGGCAGAGCCAAACGACGAGAGUGGCGCGAACGUGGACGCCGCCAAAAUGUGGCGCCAAGACCGCGAACAGUUUCAGAAGAUCGCCCAGCGGCUGGUGCGUAAGUCGCUCGGGCUGCCGCCGCCCUGAGAUGGACAGAUACGAUAUAGCGGAUAUGAUCUGUACCCAGUGGUCAUGGACAGGUCAGGGGAGAGGGGUAUACCCACAGGAGGGGCACGGGCGAUAACCCACGGACGACAGUGCCAUACCGACUGGUGAGGAAGUCGGUAGAAUAUGGUUCUGUGGCGCUGAAUACGUCCAGGGAGCUUCCAGUGUGAUGAUGACACGUCAAAACAUGAGAUGAUAUAGGUACCUAAUUCGUCCGCCGCAAAUGGUAAUGGUUUUGUUGGUGUGUACCGCGGGGACCUGGUAUGAAGUACGGAGGUAUGACAGGCCCGAGGCCCUAAGUUUUCCACGCCAGCUUUUCCAUCAUAAAGUUAUUACGUUGUGGUACGUGAGGCGCGUGCCACGGAAGUGUCCGAGCUGCUUGUUAUAUUUAAAAUGGUAUAUAUGUGUGUGUAUACAGAGAAUCGCUAAGUUGUAUGGAUGUCGUGUUUUUCAUCAUGUCAGGUUAAUUUGUGAACGGCGAGGACUGUUAGUUGGCCCGGGCCCUGUUCAAGUGUCCGCGGCGGCCGCAGAGCACUUGAACAGAGCCCCGGAGCGAACUUCCACUUUUUUGUUAAUACGACAUCGAUGGUUUGGAAAUGUAAUUGAAAUCAGAGCCUCAGGUCACCAGGUGUGAAUAAGAGUACAUGUAUGGGCAACGAA
rnacentral:misc_RNA from 1 species